UUGGAAUAACUUCAGCAUUGAUUCUGUCA
rnacentral:piRNA from 1 species